GAGAAGUAGUUGCUGGAGAUUGCUAACAUUCCCACAGCAUUCUAAUAGACAAGACUGAGAUCCACGCAAUCCUAGCAGUUGAUGGGCAGAGGGAGGAUGACUGACAUUUGAGAGUUGUUUGGGAUACAUCAGUAGAAUGUCUUAAUACUAAUGAAUUGAUAAACUAGAUUAGACUAGAAGAGAAAGACAGUGCAUGGAUUUAAAAUGAUAUUAGCAUUUCCAUGAAACAUUUGGGGUUAGUGUGUUGGGUUGAAAUGUAGAAUUAAUUUUUUUUUUUUCUGAGGGUCAUGGAGGGAGAAAGGCAACCCUGUGAACUACUGUUGUCUUCAGAAGCCAACCAAUCAAAAGGACAAUGAUUCUUUUAAGGAGCCAAGCAAUAAUUUAUCUGGCAAAAUUUCAACACAUUCAAAGUGCAUUGUUCUGAAACUCUAAACCUGAGCUCUGAUGGAGACCACUACAGAAAAACCCACAACCAAUCAAAAGGUAGAACUGUGGAGCCCUGCCCCAGUGGAUACAUCUACAAAACAUUCCUGCCCCUAAGGCUCAGGGGACACUGCAGAAGAGGGGAUGGAAAGACCAUAAAAGCCAGAAGACCAGGACUUUUACUUUGAGAAUCAGAGAGCAUAGUGAAUAUUCGGAGAGAGACAAGCAAGCCUGCCUGGAUAGUGAUGCUAGAAACUGGUUACCUAGCAACUCCUGACAAGGAUGGGAACGUGACUCCCCUACCUGAGAAGCCUGAAUCCAACUUCUCACAAGUUGCUGGGUGAUCCAUUCUCUGAACUCCCCCAUCUAAUCUGUGUGUAUAGCAGUAUAAUUCCUGGAGGGCAAGGCAUACUCCAGAAUGUAAGUCCAGCCUCUGAUUUCUCUGAGAAGGAUCCCUACAGGUAGGUAUUGCUGCUGAUGCUGAAAUCUGAGGAAAUGAUCUCUUAUGUGCCACCUAGAGGGCUUCCCAGUAAAGCCUGUUUCCUGGCUGAUUCUGCAUGGCUUCACCUGCUUUGUCUUGGUGCAGAGAAGUGGAUUCAUUGUAUAGUAACAACCUUGGUAGUUGUUCCUUCAUCUAGCUGACUGAGAGCAGGCAUAAAAUAGCAGUGUAACUCACAGAAUAUAAAGGAGGGUUUCACGAAGGAAGAAAUGCGGUUGUCCUGUAUUUUGGUGGUACAUUGUUGAUUUGUACUGUGGGUGUUGGAGCCUUCUGCUCUUUCAGGCAUUCCGUUUUAUGAUGUAUGCAUAUGACUGGGUGUCAUUUAAGAAUCGCAAGCCUUUUAAAAAUGUCUAUCUGAAUCCAUUAGCUUUGACUUUCUAGGUGCUCAUAUCCAUGCCUGUCUCUGUGGACACCUGGCAUGUGGGUGGACACACACACACACACACACACACACACACACACACACACUAGUCUACCCUUCAGAGCUGGGUUUCCAGCUCCAAAGUGAAACAUACUU